rnacentral:rRNA from 1 species
UGGGGAAUAUUGGACAAUGGGCGCAAGCCUGAUCCAGCCAUGCCGCGUGAGUGAUGAAGGCCCUAGGGUUGUAAAGCUCUUUCACCGGUGAAGAUAAUGACGGUAACCGGAGAAGAAGCCCCGGCUAACUUCGUGCCAGCAGCCGCGGUAAUACGAAGGGGGCUAGCGUUGUUCGGAUUUACUGGGCGUAAAGCGCACGUAGGCGGACUUUUAAGGCAGGGGUGAAAUCCCGGGGCUCAACCCCGGAACUGCCUUUGAUACUGGAAGUCUUGAGUAUGGUAGAGGUGAGUGGAAUUCCGAGUGUAGAGGUGAAAUUCGUAGAUAUUCGGAGGAACACCAGUGGCGAAGGCGGCUCACUGGACCAUUACUGACGCUGAGGUGCGAAAGCGUGGGGAGCAAACAGG